AAGAAAAUUCUAAGACAUGUACGUUAGAUUAACAAAAAUUUUUAUAAAGCAGAAGAGAUCUAAUCUAACAUACAUCUUUGAUCACAUUCAUAAAGCCAUAUAUAUCAUGUCCUUAAGAUCAAAACAUAAAAUAAACUAACAUAACCAUGAAGAUCAGAUCUUCACCUUAGCGUGGAUAGAUAUUCACCGUAAUUUGAUAAUUAUGGAUAUCUUUUCGGAU
rnacentral:lncRNA from 1 species